AUUGAACGCUGGCGGCAGGCUUAACACAUGCAAGUCGAGCGGGGGAAGGUAGCCUGCUACUGGACCUAGCGGCGGACGGGUGAGUAACGCUUAGGAAUCUGCCUAUUAGUGGGGGACAACAUCUCGAAAGGGAUGCUAAUACCGCAUACGUCCUACGGGAGAAAGACGGGGAUCUUCGGACCUGGCGCUAAUAGAUGAGCCGAAGUCGGAUUAGCUAGUUGGUGGGGUAAAGGCCUACCAAGGCGACGAUCUGUAGCGGGUCUGAGAGGAUGAUCCGCCACACUGAGACUGAGACACGGCCCAGACUCCUACGGGAGGCAGCAGUGGGGAAUAUUGGACAAUGGGGGGAACCCUGAUCCAGCCAUGCCGCGUGUGUGAAGAAGGCCUUAUGGUUGUAAAGCACUUUAAGCGAGGAGGAGGCUACUCUAGUUAAUACCUAGGGAUAGUGGACGUUACUCGCAGAAUAAGCACCGGCUAACUCUGUGCCAGCCGCCGCUGUAA
rnacentral:rRNA from 1 species